rnacentral:rRNA from 1 species
CUACGGGCUGCACCAGUGAGGAAUUUUGCGCAAUGGGGGAAACCCUGACGCAGCAACGCCGCGUGAGCGAAGAAGGCCCUCGGGUCGUAAAGCUCUGUCAAGUGGGAAAAAAAUUUUUUGAUCAAUAGUCAAAAGACUUGAUGGUACCACUGGAGGAAGCACCGGCUAACUCCGUGCCAGCAGCCGCGGUAAUACGGAGGGUGCGAGCGUUGUUCGGAUUCAUGGGCGUAAAGAGCGUGUAGGCGGUUUAUCAAGUCAGAUGGGAAAGCCCUGGGCUCAACCCGGGAAGUGCAUUUGAAACUGCGUCACUAGAGUAUGGGAGAGGAGAUUGGAAUUCCUGGUGUAGAGGUGAAAUUCGUAGAUAUCAGGAGGAACACCCGUGGCGAAGGCGAUUCUCUGGACCAAUACUGACGCUGAGACGCGAAAGCGUGGGGAGCAAACAGGAUUAGAUACCCCGGUAGUC